UACGUAGGGGCGAGCGUUGUCCGGAGUUACUGGGCGUAAAGAGCGUGUAGGCGGUUGAAAAGUACAGGCGUGAAAUUCUUCGGCUCAACCGGGGGACGUGCGCCUGAAACUUUUCGACUGGAGUUCGGGAGGGGCAACUGGAAUUCCUGGUGUAGGAGUGAAAUCCGUAGAUAUCAGGAGGAACACCGGUGGCGAAGGCGGCUGCCUGGACCGAUAUUGACGCUGAGACGCGAAAGCGUGGGUAGC
rnacentral:rRNA from 1 species